rnacentral:rRNA from 1 species
AAUGAACGUUGGCGGCGUGGAUUAGGCAUGCAAGUCGUGCGGAAAGGCCCCGCAAGGGUACGUCGAGCGGCGAAAGGGAUAGUAAUGCGUGGAUUACCUGCCCUCAGGCCUGGGAUAGCUGCUGGAAACGGCAAUUAAUACCAGAUAAUGUCUCCGGACCAAAGGUGUAAUUCCGUCUGAGGAGGGGUCCGCGUCCUAUUAGCUAGUUGGUGGGGUAAUGGCCUACCAAGGGCAACGAUGGGUAGCCGGGUGUGAGAGCACGACCCGCAUCACUGGGGACUGAGAUACUGCCCAGACACCUACGGGUGGCAG